rnacentral:rRNA from 1 species
UACGUAGGUGGCAAGCGUUGUCCGGAAUUAUUGGGCGUAAAGAGCUCGUAGGCGGUUUGUUGCGUCGGCUGUGAAAUCCCGAGGCUCAACCUCGGGUCUGCAGUCGAUACGAGCAAACUAGAGUGUUGCAGGGGAGACUGGAAUUCCUGGUGUAGCGGUGAAAUGCGCAGAUAUCAGGAGGAACACCGGUGGCGAAGGCGGGUCUCUGGGCAGUAACUGACGCUGAGGAGCGAAAGUGUGGGGAGCGAACAGG